UACGGGGGGGGCUAGCGUUGUUCGGAAUUACUGGGCGUAAAGGGCGCGUAGGCGGUCUGCUAAGUUGGAUAUGAAAACUCUGGGCUUAACCCAGAGCCUGCAUUCAAUACUGACAGGCUAGAGUUCUGGAGGGGAUAGCGGAAUUCCUGGUGUAGCGGUGAAAUGCGUAGAUAUCAGGAGGAACACCGGUGGCGAAGGCGGCUAUCUGGACAGAGUCUGACGCUGAGGCGCGAAAGCUAGGGGAGCAAACAGG
rnacentral:rRNA from 1 species